CAGGGAGACAACACAAUGAUUUUGAUGCCUGAGUGCUUUUAUUCUUAGGCCGAAAUCCUGUCACCUUAGGUCGAUCGGUACCUCAGCUUUGAAGUCAAGGAUCAGCAGCAAUGUUGAUUGCUUGAUGGAGAUUUUCAGUUCCUAAACUUUGUCUAGGUCACACCCCAAAAGGGAUGAGACUCCUGGGCCAUUAGCUCAGGUGGUUAGAGCGCACCCCUGAUAAGGGUGAGGUCCCUGGUUCAAGUCCAGGAUGGCCCAUUCGGUGUUGGGGGUUUAGCUCAGUUGGUAGAGCGCCUGCUUUGCAAGCAGGAUGUCAGGAGUUCGAGUCUCCUAACCUCCACUGACCGAACUUGAUUCCCAUCUCCAAUUUUUUGGAGUUGAGCUCGAUUGGAGUGUGAUUUAGAUGUGUCCGCUGGAUGACCCCAGCUUCCUGUCAUUCUAAAUUUUAGGUUGAUGCCUUGAAUUUGGUUGAUAAGAUGCUGGGCUCGGAUCAAAUGCUCAAGCAAUUGAUGAUUUGAUUUGAAGUUCUAGCAGAACCUUGACAACUGCAUAGGUGAGUCUGGAAAAAACAAAGCAUCUUACAGAUGCAUUGUUUUGAAUCUGAUCUUCUGAAAGGGAGAUUGGAUCUAGAACAAUGAAAAUUCUUUUGAGCAAGAGCCGAGACUCUUGAGCGUUCUUUGAUUGGUGUCGAGCCAAUCAGAGUUUGAUCUUGUUUUUAGUAAUAAAAACUUGAGAAUCUGCUUUCAACGGCGGUAAGCGUUUAUGAGGUUAAUU
rnacentral:tRNA from 1 species